rnacentral:lncRNA from 1 species
GGUCUCCCUAUUUUCAAUUUCUUGAAGUUUUGAUCCCCCUAUUUUAAAAACCAACUUUUUGGUCCCCCUAUUUUAAUUUUUCUUGAGUUUUGAUCCCCACUCCAUUUUAUGGUCAAUUUUGAUGACAUGUCAAGGUCAUUAAUGACAUGACAUUGCACACUUGGCAAAAACAUUAUCCAUGUUAUCAAUUUGGUAUUUAUCUUGUUUUAUGGAUUAAUGUUUGUUCUUCAUUUAUUUUCUGCAACUCAAUAUUAAAAAUAUGAUCUUCCACU